CAAGAGAAGUCUCAUCCUUCCCAAAGACUUCCUAGUCAAAAUGAAGUAGUGUCAAUUAAAGAUAGUGCCCCGAUACUCUUCAAGAUUCCUAGUGGGGUUCCUCGCUUUCUUAAGUGUCUAUUAACUACCGUGAAGUAUGUGGAGCCAAGUUUCAUGAUCAAAUUUCCGAUGGAUUUUGAGAUAUUCGGCCAUGAGAAUAAUUUAUAUAUCUCACAAGAAUAUAUAGUCCAUGUUGGCUUAAUGGAAGAGAUUGGAGCAUAAUGUGUAUCGUUAUAUAUCAGGAUUUUAUACUUCCAAUUAGUGAAAAGAGAGAUCAGUCACUUUUUUCGUUUUGUUGAGCCAAUGUGGUUAUCAAAUGUUGGAUCCACUGAAGAAGAACGAGUUGAAUGGGUAUCAAAGCGUAUGAUUGAUUCAAAUCCGGGUCAGAUGUGGUUGUUGCCAUAUCAUAAGGGAAAGCAUUGGAUGCUUAUAAUAAUUGAUUUUGAUCACCAAUUGUGCUAUUUUUUGGAUUCUCUUCACAAUUUUCCACCAGAUGAAAUCAAAUCUCUCAUUUCUCGCGUGGAGAACAGUUAAGUGUCCUCGUCAACCAUUACAAUCAGUACAAUGUGGGUUCUAUGUUAUGAGGAUGAUGAAGGACUUCGUGACAAAUGAGUUUUCAAUGCGAUGGCUAACUAGUAACUGUGGCGGGAAGAACUAUUACACAAAGGAUGAGAUCAAUGAAGUACGUGAAGAAUUGGCACAAUGCGUCAUGGAUUUGAUGAGUACUACAUAGGUCUACCCACUUUUGUUAACUUAGACUUUUAAUGAGAUAUACUUACAAUGUUAACUUAAACUUUCUUGAAGAUAUACACACUUUUGUUGUCCAACUAUAGUUUACAAUGCUUAUAUGAGUCAUUUUGUAAUUAACUUAAGACUCGUUAUUUUAGAUACUUAGUUCAAAUUCUAGUAUUUUAUAUUAUUGUGAUAUAUGUUUUGUUUU